CCUACGGGCGGCAGCAGUGGGGAAUAUUGCACAAUGGGCGCAAGCCUGAUGCAGCCAUGCCGCGUGUGUGAAGAAGGCCUUCGGGUUGUAAAGCACUUCCAGCGGGGAGGAAGGCGUUAAGGUUAAUAACCUGGUCGAUUGACGUUACCCGCAGAAGAAGCACCGGCUAACUCCGUGCCAGCAGCCGCGGUAAUACGGAGGGUGCAAGCGUUAAUCGGAAUUACUGGGCGUAAAGCGCACGCAGGCGGUCUGUCAAGUCGGAUGUGAAAUCCCCGGGCUCAACCUGGGAACUGCAUUCGAAACUGGCAGGCUAGAGUCUUGUAGAGGGGGGUAGAAUUCCAGGUGUAGCGGUGAAAUGCGUAGAGAUCUGGAGGAAUACCGGUGGCGAAGGCGGCCCCCUGGACAAAGACUGACGCUCAGGUGCGAAAGCGUGGGGAGCAAACAGGAUUAGAUACCCGGGUAGUC
rnacentral:rRNA from 1 species